rnacentral:rRNA from 1 species
CCUACGGGAGGCAGCAGUGGGGAAUUUUGGGCAAUGGCCGAAAGGCUGACCCAGCGACGCCGCGUGUGGGAGGAAGCCCUUCGGGGUGUAAACCACUGUCAGGGGGGACGAAAGAGGAGAGUGGGAAUACUGCUCUCCAGUGACGGUACCCUCAAAGGAAGCACCGGCUAACUCUGUGCCAGCAGCCGCGGUAAU